CAGAAAUGCCUUUUUCCUUCCUUCUUUCAAUCAUUCAAUCCUUUUUUUCUCUCUUCCUUUUUUCUUCUCUCCUUCCUUCCUUCCAUGCACCCGAGAGGAAAAAAAAAAAUGUGUGCCUGAAACAGAGGCCAGAGAGCCUGCUGCAUCUGUCAGGGAAGAUGUUCAAAGGGAGUCACACUACCCAUAUCAAGUGAGAAAGAAGCCCAUGGGACCCAGUGGAAGAUGCCUGGCUUCACACACUGCCCCAGCCCCCAAGAACAGGCCUUCCUCCAGGUCCUCAUCCUGGCUCCAUCACUCCUCUGGUUGAUACUGUUGAGCAUCUACUACAAGUCAGACACAAAGAUCACAAGGACCUGCCUCUGCCUUCUAGGCCCUCCCUGAUGGGAAGGGACAUGGAACAAACAGGCAAUGACAAAGCAGUGUGACACACAUAAUGAGUGAUGCCAUGGUCAGGUGGGUCCAGCUGCAGAGGCAGGACUGUUUUCCAGAGAAGCGCCCCUGGAGCCCAGAGAGGAAAGGUGUGGGGAGGCCAGAGAGUAAGAGCAACAUAAUGGGGAUUGUGUGUCAAAACACUCACCCUCUGGCUAUGGAGAUCGAUUGCAAGAGACAAAACUGGAAGCAGGAGGCAUUUAAGGAAAUGGAAGUAAUCCAAGACAGAAGGAUGUGAAUCUGAAUGAAUGUGGAAGCAUUGGGAUAGAGAGGAACCGAGCAAAUGAGCUUGUAUGAAGCUGACAGGAGCAUCCCCUAGACCCUUUGUCCAGACUCAUGAGCCUGUAUUCCUGUCCAAGCAAGACCCCAAGACUUGGGAGAUGGAAGCUUGGAGAAAUCAGGCAACCUCCACAGUUAAGGGGCAGAACCCACAUUCACAAGCUGGUUCAUCAGAUUCCUAAACCCAUGAGAGAUGGGAGAGAAGAGACUGGCCUAAAAGAGUUGGGCUCUGAGCAGAACUUAGCAGACAACUGGGAGAGGAAUAUUCCAAGCAAAGGAAACAGAGCAAAGAAAAGAUUUAAAGGAUUAAAUUCAACAUGAGAAACAUUUUGCCAUUUGUUUGAGUCAAGUAAUUUAUGCUCUAGACUUGCUUCUGCUAAACUCCGUGGAAUGCUUAAUCUUUCUGAAAUUUAAUUCCUCUCUUGCAAGAUAGGGUAUAUUGCAGAGUCGUAUGGAUGCUGUGAAUGUAGUGUCAGCCAUAAAGGUGCUUUCAGAUGGUCAAG
rnacentral:lncRNA from 1 species